rnacentral:snoRNA from 1 species
GGCGCCUUACUUCUACAGGAUCAUUUCUGCAGUAAGUGGUCGAUUUGCGAAAAUAGAAACCACGAUGAGGUGUGGA